rnacentral:rRNA from 1 species
CAUCCCCUACGGGCGCAGCAGUGGGGAAUAUUGGGCAAUGGGCGCAAGCCUGACCCAGCAACGCCGCGUGAAGGAAGAAGGCUUUCGGGUUGUAAACUUCUUUUGUCAGGGACGAAGCAAGUGACGGUACCUGACGAAUAAGCCACGGCUAACUACGUGCCAGCAGCCGCGGUAAUACGUAGGUGGCAAGCGUUAUCCGGAUUUAUUGGGUGUAAAGGGCGUGUAGGCGGGAAUGCAAGUCAGAUGUGAAAACUAUGGGCUCAACCCAUAGCCUGCAUUUGAAACUGUAUUUCUUGAGUGCUGGG